rnacentral:rRNA from 1 species
GACGAACGCUGGCGGCGUGCUUAACACAUGCAAGUCGAACGGAAAGGCCCUGCUUUUGUGGGGUGCUCGAGUGGCGAACGGGUGAGUAACACGUGAGUAACCUGCCCUUGACUUUGGGAUAACUUCAGGAAACUGGGGCUAAUACCGGAUAGGAGCUCCUGCUGCAUGGUGGGGGUUGGAAAGUUUCGGCGGUUGGGGAUGGACUCGCGGCUUAUCAGCUUGUUGGUGGGGUAGUGGCUUACCAAGGCUUUGACGGGUAGCCGGCCUGAGAGGGUGACCGGCCACAUUGGGACUGAGAUACGGCCCAGACUCCUACGGGAGGCAGCAGUGGGGAAUAUUGCACAAUGGGCGGAAGCCUGAUGCAGCAACGCCGCGUGCGGGAUGACGGCCUUCGGGUUGUAAACCGCUUUCGCCUGUGACGAAGCGUGAGUGACGGUAAUGGGUAAAGAAGCACCGGCUAACUACGUGCCAGCAGCCGCGGUGAUACGUAGGGUGCGAGCGUUGUCCGGAUUUAUUGGGCGUAAAGGGCUCGUAGGUGGUUGAUCGCGUCGGAAGUGUAAUCUUGGGGCUUAACCCUGAGCGUGCUUUCGAUACGGGUUGACUUGAGGAAGGUAGGGGAGAAUGGAAUUCCUGGUGGAGCGGUGGAAUGCGCAGAUAUCAGGAGGAACACCAGUGGCGAAGGCGGUUCUCUGGGCCUUUCCUGACGCUGAGGAGCGAAAGCGUGGGGAGCGAACAGGCUUAGAUACCCUGGUAGUCCACGCUGUAAACGGUGGGUACUAGGUGUGGGGUCCAUUCCACGGGUUCCGUGCCGUAGCUAACGCCUUAAGUACCCCGCCUGGGGAGUACGGCCGCAAGGCUAAAACUCAAAGGAAUUGACGAGGCCCCGCACAAGCGGCGGAGCAUGCGGAUUAAUUCGAUGCAACGCGUAGAACCUUACCUGGGUUUGACAUGGAUCGGGAGUGCUCAGAGAUGGGUGUGCCUCUUUUGGGGUCGGUUCACAGGUGGUGCAUGGCUGUCGUCAGCUCGUGUCGUGAGAUGUUGGGUUAAGUCCCGCAACGAGCGCAACCCUUGUUCACUGUUGCCAGCACGUUAUGGUGGGGACUCAGUGGAGACCGCCGGGGUCAACUCGGAGGAAGGUGGGGAUGACGUCAAGUCAUCAUGCCCCUUAUGUCCAGGGCUUCACGCAUGCUACAAUGGCUGGUACAGAGAGUGGCGAGCCUGUGAGGGUGAGCGAAUCUCGGAAAGCCGGUCUCAGUUCGGAUUGGGGUCUGCAACUCGACCUCAUGAAGUCGGAGUCGCUAGUAAUCGCAGAUCAGCAACGCUGCGGUGAAUACGUUCCCGGG